rnacentral:rRNA from 1 species
UGAGGAAUAUUGCGCAAUGGGCGAAAGCCUGACGCAGCGACGCCGCGUGGAGGAUGAAGGUCUUAGGAUUGUAAACUUCUGUUAAGUGGGAAGAAAUGCCCGUGAGUAAUAUGCUCGGGAGAUGACUGUACCAUUAGAGAAAGCACCGGCUAACUUCGUGCCAGCAGCCGCGGUAAUACGAAGGGUGCAAGCGUUAUUCGGAUUUAUUGGGCGUAAAGGGUGCGUAGGCGGCAUAUUAAGUCAAUUGUUAAAUUCUUCGGCCUAACCGAAGGUCAGCAGUAGAUACUGAUAUGCUAGAGGAUGGAAGAGAGAAGUGGAAUUCUUGGAGUAGCGGUAAAAUGCGUAGAUCUCAAGAGGAACACCGAUGGCGAAGGCAGCUUCUUGGUCCAUAUCUGACGCU